rnacentral:rRNA from 1 species
AUAUCAAUAAGCGGAGGAAAAGAAACCAACAGGGAUUGCCUCAGUAACGGCGAGUGAAGCGGCAACAGCUCAAAUUUGAAAUCUGGCCUCUCGGGGUCCGAGUUGUAAUUUGUAGAGGAUGUUUCGGGUACCGCCCCGGUCUAAAUUUCUUGGAACAGAAUGUCAGAGAGGGUGAGAACCCCGUCUUUGGCCAGUGGUUUGCACCAUGUGAAACCCCUUCGACGAGUCGAGUUGUUUGGGAAUGCAGCUCUAAAUGGGAGGUAAAUUUCUUCUAAAGCUAAAUACUGGCCAGAGACCGAUAGCGCACAAGUA